AUAUACGGAUAGAAGAGAGAGAGAGAGAGAGGGGGGGAGGGACAGGUACAUAUGUUUGUAUCGUUUGUAUAUUGAUGGACCAAACCGCAUUAAAUGCCAUUAAUUAUGGAACUUAAUUAGCAAAAGCGAUAAAAAGCAAAGUGCUUGCGAUUUGUAUGAAAACUCUCUCGCUCUUCUCUCUCUCUCUCUCUCUCUCUCUCUGUGUUUGCGUAAUG
rnacentral:miRNA from 1 species